CAGGAGUAGAGGGAAUAGCAAGAGGGGGGAUAUGGCAGAGAGAGAUGCGACAGGGGGAACAACGGGUGAAGGCGAGAGGGGAACGGGAGUAGAGGGAACGACAGGGAGAGGAACUAGAGGGGCAUCAGGGGAGGCAACACGUAAAGGUGGGAGGGGAGCAGGAACAGGAGGGAUGACAGGGGGAGAUGGGAGAGGGGUGAUGUCGGGAGAAGUGAUGGAGGGAGGUAGCUGAGGGACGGCAUCAGUGGUGACAAGAGGGGCAGGAUUAGAGGGAGACCGAAGUAAUGGGUAGUGUGGAGGUAGGUGAGAGAGAUACGGGAUAAUAAUAGGAUCCAUCCGCCCCGAGAGCGGGGUACAGAGGGGUUGGGACAGGAGGGCCUAUCACAAAUGGAGGUGGCGACUGGGCGGUGACGGGGGAGGCAGGGCGAGAUUCAUUCACGGUAUUCUGGGUUCCAUCAUAGGGCGGUGGCCAGGGAACAUCAGGGUUCGUUUCAUCAUUACAAACAUUUCUGUAAUAUACAUAAAUCGUUUGUCCUUCAAAAUCCAUUUCUUCCUCUGACCAAUCCUCCCGCUUGAGUCCUCUUGGUACCCGAUACCAAGCCUCCAAGGCUUUCGUCAACCCGUUAUCCAAAAGCAAGCCCUCUUCAUCAAUGAGUAAUUUCCUCCAAAACUCUGGCUGCAAUCUACCACUGGGUGACAUUUGAAAACCACAAAUCUUUUCUAUCUUCUUUAUCUUUAACAUAGCCUCUUCUCCUGCUCUCUCCUUAACAAUAUCACAAGUUAAAUAGCCUUUAGAGGGUCUGGUAUGUUCUUGUUCCAUUUUUAACCAAACAAAGCUUUCCCUGUAAGAGGGAGAGUGAGAGGGAGAGUGAGAGAGAGAGUGAAAAACGGAAUGUCUACAGUGCUCGACUGCCACGAGGAAUUGAUUCCCGUCUGACUUCCCUAAACGCAGACUAGUCACAGGAUCCGCCCACCCGAGAUGGUGGCCACGGAUCUGAGCGGGCGAGGGUGGGUGACUAACACAGCUCUGGGCAACAAGUAUAGGAGAGGUAGAAGAUAAGGGAAAAGGUGAACGUGGAGAGACUAAUCAGAAGACAUUUACAUGAGUCACAGAUAUAGAGAUGUGCACAUAAUCCGGAAUCAAGGACAACCCACACAACACACACACACACACAACUAUGGUACCCACACUAUGACAACAACUGAAUAGAAAACAUAGUAUAACAAGGAACAGUAAAACUACGAACAUAAUAAUAACUAAACAGUAAAUUAACCCUGUUCAACUCUGAACAAUUCCCAACCUUUCUCUAGGCGGAUGCGUUUCCUGCCCGCUAGGCAGUUAAGCUAUGAAAUCCCCAGCCUUUCUCUAGGCGGAUGCGUUCCCUGUCCGCUAGGCAGUCAAGCUAUAAAAUCCCCAGCCUAUCUCUAGGCGGUCCCCAGCCCUUCACCGGGCGGAUAAAAUUCCCAACCUUUUCUCUAGGCGGCUCCCAGCCCUUUACUGGGCGGACAAAAUUCCCAGCCAUUUACCGGGCGGCUGCGUUCCC